AUUGAACGCUAGCGGGAUGCUUUACACAUGCAAGUCGAACGGCAGCGCGGACUUCGGUCUGGCGGCGAGUGGCGAACGGGUGAGUAAUGUAUCGGAACGUGCCCAGUAGCGGGGGAUACUACGCGAAAGCGUAGCUAAUAACGCAUACGCCCUACGGGGGAAAGCAGGGGAUCGUAAGACCUUGCACUAUUGGGGCGGCCGAUAUCGGAUUAGCUAGUUGGUGGGGUAACGGCUCACCAAGGCGACGAUCCGUAGCUGGUUUGAGAGGACGACCAGCCACACUGGGACUGAGACACGGCCCAGACUCCUACGGGAGGCAGCAGUGGGGAAUUUUGGACAAUGGGGGCAACCCUGAUCCAGCCAUCCCGCGUGUGCGAUGAAGGCCUUCGGGUUGUAAAGCACUUUUGGCAGGAAAGAAACGUCGCGGGCUAAUACCCCGUGGAACUGACGGUACCUGCAGAAUAAGCACCGGCUAACUACGUG
rnacentral:rRNA from 1 species